rnacentral:rRNA from 1 species
AGAGUUUGAUCCUGGCUCAGAGCGAACGCUGGCGGCGUGCCUAACACAUGCAAGUCGAACGUGAACGGGGGCAACCCCUAGUAAAGUGGCGUACGGGUGAAUAACGCGUAGGUAAUCUACCCCAGAGUCUGGAAUAACCGGCCGAAAGGCUGGCUAAUACUGGAUAGAGCGACGGAAUCCGUAAUUGGGUUUUUCGGGAA